ensembl:snoRNA SNORA70 Small nucleolar RNA SNORA70
CUGCGUCUAAAAUUGAAAUCCACCAUGCUGCCCUCCCCAUGGCGCCCGGUGUGCAGUGGCUGCAAAUAGCAGCCUCCUGGAUAGUGUAUACAACCUGAUGCUUGUAUAGGCUGCCCUAAGGGACCCUGGAGACAGUC